UGGGGAAUAUUGGACAAUGGGCGGAAGCCUGAUCCAGCAACGCCGCGUGAGGGAUGACGGCCUUCGGGUUGUAAACCUCUUUCAGCACAGACGAAGCGCAAGUGACGGUAUGUGCAGAAGAAGGACCGGCCAACUACGUGCCAGCAGCCGCGGUAAUACGUAGGGUCCGAGCGUUGUCCGGAAUUAUUGGGCGUAAAGGGCUCGUAGGCGGUUUGUCGCGUCGGGAGUGAAAACACCGGGCUUAACUCGGUGCUUGCUUUCGAUACGGGCAGACUAGAGGUAUUCAGGGGAGAACGGAAUUCCUGGUGUAGCGGUGAAAUGCGCAGAUAUCAGGAGGAACACCGGUGGCGAAGGCGGUUCUCUGGGAAUAUCCCGACGCUGAGGAGCGAAAGUGUGGGGAGCGAACGGGAUUAGAUACCCUGGUAGUCCACACCGUAAACGUUGGGCGCUAGGUGUGGGGUCCAUUCCACGGAUUCCGUGCCGCAGCUAACGCAUUAAGCGCCCCGCCUGGGGAGUACGGCCGCAAGGCUAAAACUUAAAGGAAUUGACGG
rnacentral:rRNA from 1 species